rnacentral:rRNA from 1 species
AGGAUUAACGCUGGCGGCGUGCCUAACACGUGCAAGUCGAACGAGGUAGCAAUACCUAGUGGCAGACGGGUGAGUAACGCGUGGUCAACCUGCCCUUGAGCGGGGGAUAACUAGCCGAAAGGUUAGCUAAUACCGCAUACGUCUAGGAUGGCAUCAUCCAAAGAUAAAAGCCGCAAGGCACUCGAGGAGGGGACCGCGUCCCAUUAGUUAGUUGGUGGGGUAACGGCCUACCAAGACUCCGAUGGGUAGCUGGUUUGAGAGAGCGACCAGCCACACUGGGACUGAGAAACGGCCCAGACUCCUACGGGAGGCAGCAGUGAGGAAUUUUCCGCAAUGGGCGAAAGCCUGACGGAGCGACGCCGCGUGUGGGAAGAAGGCCUUCGGGUCGUAAACCACUGUCAAAGGGGAAGAUAUUGACGGUACCCUUGGAGGAAGCCCCGGCUAACGUACGCGCCAGCAGCCGC